UACAGGGGGGGCAAGCGUUGUUCGGAAUUACUGGGCGUAAAGGGUUUGUAGGUGGCCACUUAAGUCGGACGUGAAAUCCCUCAGCUUAACUGGGGAACUGCGUCUGAUACUGCGUGGCUUGAGUGCAGGAGAGGAACGCGGAAUUCCAGGUGUAGCGGUGAAAUGCGUAGAUAUCUGGAGGAACACCGGUGGCGAAGGCGGCGUUCUGGACUGUAACUGACACUGAAAAACGAAAGCCAGGGGAGCAAACGGG
rnacentral:rRNA from 1 species